rnacentral:lncRNA from 1 species
AAGAAAACAUCAGACAAAUCCCCAUUGGUGAACAUUUUACAAGUUACCCAACUGAUGUUUCCUAAACACAUCAAAGUUAAGUGUAAGGACACUGGUGACUAAAGUGUGUUCUGGAUGAGAUCUUUGAACAGAACAAGGACACUAGACUCACCUUCCACCCUUUCACCCACCUUCCACCCUGUGGGGGGAAAAGGGUAAAAUAGGAAAGCAGAAGAGUCAAUGAGAGAGAUGUAACAGAAGAGGCAGGAGAAUAGAAGCAUGAGAAGGACUUACCCACCAUUGAAGUCUUUGAAGACAAAGAUCACCAAGAACCAAGGAACAUGUGGCAGACUCUAGAAGAAAAAAACAAGCCACACUGACAUGCAGUCCUACAACUGUAUGGAACUGGGUUUUGCCAACAACCUCUGGAA